GUCUUAUGACAGGUUACCCUCAUAAAACAAGAUGUUUGACUCUCUUAUCUACACAAAACAUUGAAACUUCUGUGUUUCUGCUGAGAGACGAGCACAGAGCCGCUAUUUCCACAGCAAGGAUACAGAUCAAAGCAACAGGUGUGGAGUUGUGUGUCUGUUUGAGCCUGUGUGGGGACCCAUGAGGGAAGCAAGAAUAAGGAUCAGCCCCAGGAGCCUCUGAUGGAGAACAGGUCUGGCAUGAGAAGAGAGAAGAGAAGAUUCUACUAUUUUAAAACAGGGCCCCACUUUACUC